rnacentral:rRNA from 1 species
UACGGAGGGUGCAAGCGUUGUUCGGAAUUAUUGGGCGUAAAGGGCGUGUAGGCGGUUUUCUAAGUCUGAUGUGAAAGCCCCGGGCUCAACCUGGGAAGUGCAUUGGAUACUGGCAAACUUGAGUACGGGAGAGGAUAGUGGAAUUUCGAGUGUAGGGGUGAAAUCCGUAGAUAUUCGAAGGAACACCGGUGGCGAAGGCGGCUAUCUGGACCGAUACUGACGCUGAGACGCGAAAGCGUGGGGAGCAAACAGG